rnacentral:misc_RNA from 1 species
GGUAAACGAGGGAGAGGGAGAUGAACUUUGAAGCAUUGAAAUGGCGCUCUUAGCCACCAAACAUAGGAUUACAAUUUUAUUUGGGUCACCAUAGUCGUGAGUGAAACUUAUUUAGCUUUGUUUGAAGCUAGAAAAGAAAAAUAUAUGCAAGACAUCGAGGAUAACUGCAAGACCAGAAGAAUGGCUGCUUGAGGUCCUUAUCUCAGUAGUGUGACAGACUAAACCACAAACCUUGAAUCAAGAAGCCAUCACAAUGAUUUUGG